rnacentral:rRNA from 1 species
GCAUGCCUUACACAUGCAAGUCGAACGGCAGCACGGGAGCAAUCCUGGUGGCGAGUGGCGAACGGGUAAGUAAUAUAUCGGAACGUGCCCAGUCGUGGGGGAUAACGCAGCGAAAGCUGUGCUAAUACCGCAUACGAUCCAUGGAUGAAAGCGGGGGAUCGCAAGACCUCGCGCGAUUGGAGCGGCCGAUAUCAGAUUAGCUAGUUGGUGAGGUAAAGGCUCACCAAGGCGACGAUCUGUAGCUGGUCUGAGAGGACGACCAGCCACACUGGAACUGAGACACGGUCCAGACUCCUACGGGAGGCAGCAGUGGGGAAUUUUGGACAAUGGGCGCAAGCCUGAUCCAGCAAUGCCGCGUGCAGGAUGAAGGCCUUCGGGUUGUAAACUGCUUUUGUACGGAGCGAAAAGGCUUCUCCUAAUACGAGGGGCUCAUGACGGUACCGUAAGAAUAAGCACCGGCUAACUACGUGCCAGCAGCCGCGGUAAUACGUAGGGUGCGAGCGUUAAUCGGAAUUACUGGGCGUAAAGCGUGCGCAGGCGGUUUUGUAAGACAGAUGUGAAAUCCCCGGGCUCAACCUGGGACCUGCAUCUGUGACUGCAAGGCUAGAGUACGGUAGAGGGGGAUGGAAUUCCGCGUGUAGCAGUGAAAUGCGUAGAUAUGCGGAGGAACACCGAUGGCGAAGGCAAUCCCCUGGACCUGUACUGACGCUCAUGCACGAAAGCGUGGGGAGCAAACAGGAUUAGAUACCCUGGUAGUCCACGCCCUAAACGAUGUCAACUGGCUGUUGGGUCUCUACUGACUCAGUAACGGAACUAACGCGUGAAGUUGACCGCCUGGGGAGUACGGCCGCAAGGUUGAAACUCA